ensembl:lincRNA
UCUAUUUCGGCACCUUGAGGAUGUUAUACCAUUGCCUUCUGGUUUGGACUGCAUCCAAUUAUUUCCACAGCAGCAUUUGUCCAGAAAUCCAGGACGCUUCGAGAAGGUGAAGCAGCUCAUCCAUCGGAAACUUGGUCCCCCAUUUGGAAUUUGCUUUCCGUGUUUGGAGGAAACAAUAUGGUGCCUGGUAAGUCACUGAUCUCUCUUGAAUUUUAUUUUGAAUGAGUUGGCGCACCGUUGGACUGACAUGAUCUGGCUUUAAAAGGAUUCAUCUGGCUGCUGGGUUGAGAAU